UGUGUUGAACGUGUUUAUUCUUUGAUAUAUUUUACCUUUUUACACCUUUGACUAUUUGGCUGAUGAUGACGAAAGUCGAAACAUGUACCAUGUAAAUUUAAAUAUAUUU